UUGGCUGGAUUCAACCUCCAAUGCAAUUUGGCAAGCACAUUUCCUACAUUUCACUGAAUAUUUAUUUAUUUACUGGCAGAGCAGGAAGAUGGCUAUCUCCUUGAUUGGUCCAAGGCUCGACAGCUUGGUUUAAUGAUGACUCUUGGGGAGCAAAUUCACAAUUAAAAUAAAUAAAUAAAAAUUUAUAAAACGGCAUCAAAGUGUGAGCGAGAGCUAUUUCUUCUCAAUUAAGCCCCAUGUAAUGGCAUGGUAUCACUCCUGCAGGAUCUGCCACACCUUGAGGUUUUUGAAGUCUGCACUGUGCUGGAGCUUAGCUGGGCAUAAUCAGACAUGGUAUAACAUGACUAGGGUUGUCCUGCUUUGACUUUGGGAAGUGAAUAAAAUCAAGGUUUCAGUAAAAGCACACUGUGAUUUAACCACUACAAAGUGACGACCUGGUCAUUCAAUACGCUAUAAAGCUGAAAGACACGGCUGAAGGAGGUGUUACCUGAUCAAAUCCUUAGACUGAGCAUGAGAAGCAACUAACAAUAAAUUACCUGAAGUUGUGUGUCAGCAGCACCACACACUUUCUUGGAUUCGCAAAGUCGUGCCACCAUGCUCUCAGGCAAAGGCUUGGAGGAUAUAUCACAGAGCUACUGCUGAACUACUGUGCUAUUGCUGUUUUUAGUGAAAUGGCUACCACAAGGAGUUUGGAGCAAACAUGAAUGAUUUAUAAACAAGAUCAACUCAAAAUGCACAGAACUAAGAAACACAGACCCCCUGCUUGUGAACCGUACCAGAUCAUCAGGUGAAUCAGCAUGCAGUCCCCCAAUCUGUAUGUAUUUCCCUUCGUUGGUAAAGUGAUGGAGGAUGUGUUUAGGGAGUGCUCUCAUAUCUAUUCGGUUUGGCAUGUGGCAGCCCAUAAGAUACUGAUUAUUGAGAUCCAACAGCUGAACAUUCAACUUGACUGCUUCUUUCCUCUGAGAAAGAAAGAAAGAAAGAAAGA